UACGGAGGGCGCAAGCGUUACUCGGAAUUAUUGGGCGUAAAGGGCGCGUAGGCGGUUCGAUAAGUCUCAUGUGAAAUCCCAGGGCCUAACCCUGGAAUGGCAUGGGAUACUGUUGGAUUUGAGUUCCGAAGAGGAAGGCAGAAUUCCCGGUGUAGCGGUGAAAUGCGUAGAUAUCGGGAGGAAUACCAGUGGCGAAGGCGGCCUUCUGGGCGGAUACUGACGCUGAGGCGCGAAAGCCAGGGGAGCAAACGGG
rnacentral:rRNA from 1 species